AUGGGGGGACCAUCCUCCAAGGCUAAAUACUCCUGAUUGACCGAUAGUGAACCAGUACUGUGAAGGAAAGGCGAAAAGAACCCCAGUGAGGGGAGUGAAAUAGAACCUGAAACCGUGUACGUACAAGCAGUGGGAGCAGAUUUAUUCUGUGACUGCGUACCUUUUGUAUAAUGGGUCAGCGACUUAUAUUUUGUAGCAAGGUUAACUGAAUAAGGGAGCCGAAGGGAAACCGAGUCUUAACUGGGCGAAGAGUUGCAAGGUAUAGACCCGAAACCCGGUGAUCUAGCCAUGGGCAGGUUGAAGAUUGGGUAACACUAAUUGGAGGACCGAACCGACUAAUGUUGAAAAAUUAGCGGAUGACUUGUGGCUGGGGGUGAAAGGCCAAUCAAACCGGGAGAUAGCUGGUUCUCCCCGAAAUCUAUUUAGGUAGAGCCUUGAGCGGACACCUUCGGGGGUAGAGCACUGUUUCGGCUAGGGGUCCAUCCCGGAUUACCAACCCGAUGCAAACUACGAAUACCGAAGAGUGAUACUCAGGAGACACACGGCGGGUGCUAACGUCCGUCGUGGAGAGGGAAACAACCCAGACCGCCAGCUAAGGUCCCAAAGUCUAUAUUAAGUGGGAAACGAAGUGGGAAGGCUUAGACAGCUAGGAUGUUGGCUUAGAAGCAGCCAUCAUUUAAAGAAAGCGUAAUAGCUCACUAGUCGAGUCGGCCUGCGCGGAAGAUGUAACGGGGCUCAAAUAUAGCACCGAAGCUGCGGCAUCAGACGAAAGUCUGUUGGGUAGGGGAGCGUUCUGUAAGCGGAUGAAGGUGGCUCGAGAGGGCUGCUGGACGUAUCAGAAGUGCGAAUGCUGACAUAAGUAACGAUAAAACGGGUGAAAAACCCGUUCGCCGGAAGACCAAGGGUUCCUGUCCAACGUUAAUCGGGGCAGGGUGAGUCGGCCCCUAAGGCGAGGCUGAAAAGCGUAGUCGAUGGGAAACGGGUUAAUAUUCCCGUACUUGGAUAAACUGCGAUGUGGGGACGGAGCAGGUUAGGUUAUCGCACUGUUGGAUAUGUGCGUUUAAGUUGGUAGGUGUGAAGUUUAGGCAAAUCCGGACUUCUUUAACACUGAGAGAUGAUGACGAGGCUCUACGGAGCUGAAGUAACCGAUACCACACUUCCAGGAAAAGCCACUAAGCUUCAGGUUUAUCUAAACCGUACUGAAAACCGACACAGGUGGUCAGGUAGAGAAUACUCAGGCGCUUGAGAGAACUCGGGUGAAGGAACUAGGCAAAAUAGCACCGUAACUUCGGGAGAAGGUGCGCCGGCGUAGAUUGUAGUCCCUCGCGGGCGAAGGUUGAACCGGUCGAAGAUACCAGCUGGCUGCAACUGUUUAUUAAAAACACAGCACUCUGCAAACACGAAAGUGGACGUAUAGGGUGUGAUGCCUGCCCGGUGCUGGAAGGUUAAUUGAUGGUGUAAUCGAAAGAGAAGCUCCUGAUCGAAGCCCCAGUAAACGGCGGCCGUAACUAUAACGGUCCUAAGGUAGCGAAAUUCCUUGUCGGGUAAGUUCCGACCUGCACGAAUGGCAUAAUGAUGGCCAGGCUGUCUCCACCCGAGACUCAGUGAAAUUGAAAUCGCCGUGAAGAUGCGGUGUACCCGCGGCUAGACGGAAAGACCCCGUGAACCUUUACUAUAGCUUGACACUGAACAUUGAAUUUUGAUGUGUAGGAUAGGUGGGAGACUUUGAAGUAGUCACGCCAGUGAUUAUGGAGUCGUCCUUGAAAUACCACCCUUUAACGUUUGAUGUUCUAACGAAGAUUACGAAACGUGGUCUCGGACAGUGUCUGGUGGGUAGUUUGACUGGGGCGGUCUCCUCCCAAAGAGUAACGGAGGAGCACGAAGGUUUGCUAAUCACGGUCGGACAUCGUGAGGUUAGUGCAAUGGUAUAAGCAAGCUUAACUGCGAGACAGACAAGUCGAGCAGGUACGAAAGUAGGUCAUAGUGAUCCGGUGGUUCUG
rnacentral:rRNA from 1 species